rnacentral:rRNA from 1 species
GAUGAACGCUGGCGGCGUGCUUAACACAUGCAAGUCGAACGGAAAGGCGCGGCUUUUGUGGGGUGCUCGAGUGGCGAAGGGGGGAGUAACACGUGAGUAACCUGCCCUUGACUUUGUGAGAACUCCAGGAAACUGGGGCUAAUACCGGAGAGGAGCUCCUGCUGCAUGGGGGGGGUUGGAAAGUGUCGGCGGUUGGGGAUGGACUCGCGGGUUAUCAGCUGGUUGGGGGGGUAGUGGCUUACCAGGGCUUUGAGGGGUAGCCUGCCUGAGAGGGUGACCGGCGACAUUGGGACUGAGGUACGGCCCAGAAGCCUACGGGAGGCAGCAGUGGGGAAUCUUGCACAAUGGGCGGAAGCGUGAUGUAGCAACGCCGCGUGCGGGAUGCCGGGUUUCGGGUUGUAAACCGAUUUCGACUGUGACGAAGCGUGCGUGACGGUAAUGGGUAAAGAAGCAACGGCUAACUACGUG